UCAAGGGGUAUGUUUAGCGGGCUGCUGUGUCUGCAGGAAGACUUUUAAGCAGCCUAUCUGCUGAUGGAUGGGGCUGUGUUCCUGCCCUGUUGUUUGUUUGACCUGAGGUGUCUCACCACUGGAGCCUGUAGGCUGUGGGUGGGGCCAGGUUUUGGCGGCCUCCAAGAGGGCUCACACCACAAAGAAGAUGGCACAAAUGGAAAUAAAAUACAGUGACUACAAACAGGGGAUUCCUAAGCUAGUGUGUGCAAGCUGUAUGCAAGUCAAAGAAUUUCUUCUUUUGUCACGACGCUGGGCUGAGAGGUGGACCCGACUGAAAGCUGAUGAAUCUCCCUCUGGACGUGAACUCACACGGGGAAGCUCAGAAAGGAAAAAUAAGGUAGCAAGAGGAGGCUUCUGAAACUACCCUCAGCUGAAAUGGGAGUGGUGGUGGUCCACCAUCUUGGACCAUGUGGAUGGUGAAAUGGCAAGACAGGAGAAGGCUGGAACCCUGACUGCUUCCUGGAGCAGAGCUUCCAUACUUGGACAGUAAGUGAGAAAGGUUAUGGAUGAGACACACCAAGAUCUAAAAACCCAG